GGAGGUGAAGAACAUGAAGGACUAGGAGCCCUGUGGCAUCGCAUGACCACAGAACGUGCUGGGUCAGUAGAGUAGAGGCUCAGCCAAAACCAGGAAUAUGAAAUGCAGACUUGCCUACCGUGAACAAGUUCAGAAGGAGCAGAAUGCAAACUUAAACUUAGGUCUUCUCCAUCUAAGCCCAGCGCCUCUGCCAUUUCCCUCUGAUUUUACUGAAGAUCAUUUCACCCAGAGUGUCCACUGACUGGUCAUGAAGGGGAGAUAGCCCAGAGCACUUCAUCUGGGGAAGCUGCCCAGUUUGCCGAACUAUGCUGUAUUGGUUCAAAAUACUUUUGGAAUACUUCUCUCUACCAGUCAACCCUCUACGCAGAAGACAUUCACAGGAAAUGAAAUCGGCAAUUCUUUAUUCCUUCAUCAUGGAUUGUUACUUAUCCUGAGCAAAUGAAUGAGUGAUUAUUUUCAAAAUACCAGCACAUUAGAAGCAAGACACAACACUAGCCCCACUUUACAGAGUGGCCAUUCAGCUAUCCAACCAAGUAUCAUUCAGCUUCCCAGAACUUUUUCCAGAUAUGCUCAGAGAAGAGCUUGUUGACAACUUCACCAGUAGCCACUUUCUAAAUGGGGAAGUGGACUGACUCCGAGGGACAGUGUGUAUUAGUCAUAGGAGGUGAGGCAUGGUGACAUUCUAAAAAACAAAGGAGACCAGAAAUAGAAUUACAAAAUAUCUAGAGCAUUUUUUUCUCUAGAGAAAUGCUCAAAAACA